CGGUCGCCCGCCCGCCCGCAGCUUCCGCUCUUGCCUAAGUCGACGCGGAGCGAGCUCCUCCCCAAGCUGCUGCCGGCCACCACCUCCACGACAUGCUCCUGCUGGCCUGUUUCAAAGGAACACAUCUGUCUGUUGGUGGUUGAGCAGCACACAGGGUUGUGUGGUGCCGCACAAGCACAGUGUGCAGUAGCAGGGUGAUGAUGGUCAUCGUGCUGCCGCACAAGCACAAUUGGCAGUAGCAGGGUGAAGGUGGUCGUCGUGGUGCCGCAAAAGCACAACUGCGUCUUCAUCGCCAAUGCCAAGGAGGAUGCCAAGACCAUGGUCCCUGGCUGGGGAUUCUUUCUACGGCAACAAUUUGUGCAGGCUUUGCAUGACGUCUUCUUCAAAUAUCAAACUAAACCAAAAUUGUCUAGUUAUGGUGACCUGUACUACAAAGGGAAAGAGUUUGAACGUAUGCACUCAACAGGUCAAACUUAGGGAAAUGAAGCCAGGUAUGCUGCUCCGAGAACUUAAAGAAGAAGCUCCUGGCAUGCUUGAUGGUGCGCCACUUCCAUGGCUUAUAGACAUGCAGAGAUAUUGUCCUCCACCCUCUUAUCCUUUGCUGAAGAUUCCUGGAGUGAAAGCUCCAAUUUCUCUUGGUGCUACUUUUGGUUACCGACCUGGGGAAUUGGGAAAGCAUCCUGUGGAUGAGGACUCCUUUGGGCUGUAUGGUGUGCUUGUCCGAUCGACAUACGUUUGAUGGACAUCCUCCGCGGCUUCCUGUCAGAUGCUGACAAACUCUAUGGCCCCGGCCAUGGGGAAAUAGCGCUUCGUUCAGGGCUGAUGAAGCCGCAAGGAGGUCCAAGCAACCCGCCAAGUUUGGGGUUUCUAGCACCAGCGGGCUGGUUGGCUGGUCGCCCUCUUCCACCCCAUCUCCAAGGGCCCACUACCACCCACAGCCAAAGAUCAAUGCCCUACUGCUGGUGAUGGCGUGUGACCGUGACUGGCGGGAGGAGCUUGCCAUGACGCAAGGAUGGCUGUGGGGAAGCAUGGAGGAUGAGCUGGUGGUCGCCUUCCAAGGCUGCUGCUGCCAGCAGUACGACCGGAGUUGCUGCCUCCGGUGUCUUCCGGCGACCACGCCCCUCAGUUCUACUGCCAGCCACAAUUCUGGGCACCACUCUUAGCUGCUGCUACUCCUUAUGAGGGAGUGGAGCUUCAGAAGCUCAUAUUGGCUCAUAACAACCUGGAAGUGCUAAUAGAAGUCCUUAGGAAUAUAUUCUCUUGUGGUGUUUCAUAAGCCACAACCAGAUAUGUUCCCUUGCUGCACAGGGGGAUUCGAAGCCACUCAAUUGAGCUGCUCCUGGCUAAUGGUAUUCUCCUACUGUGUAUCUCCUCAAUUCAAAUUAUGUGAUUGAUAAAAAUAAUUAGGCCGAAUGUAUGUGGGCUGCGAUAGCCGGCUUCAGCCAAAUUGAGCGGGCCAAGGUGUUAGGAGAGGCCAAUUUAUUGUUUGAAAGCAUGAUGCGUGGAUUGUUGCUCUGUUCAAGCAUCAAUCUUUUUACCUGGGAUACUGCUUGUUUGCCACUAUUUUUGUGCCAUGAAGUGUUGCAGCUCCUUAAGUAAAACACCAAAUAUAUUGAAACUUUACUCAUGUGUCAAGCAUUUCUCCGGUGUGUUUUUGCAAGUUGCGAUGUUCUUGUUAGUUAUAUUGAAACUUUACUUGCUUUGGUAUGUGGAUAUACAAAAGUUAAUUCUGUAUUUUGCAAGGAUAAACUAUUAGGCUGGCAUAGUUUCUUUGAAAACUUCUACUGCUACUAGACUGGCUGGUCUAUUGUUAGCUUUAAUCUAAGAACGUUCUUCUAUCUUGCUAUUUUGUGAGAAAAAUAACCUUUCAAUGAGAAGUAAUCUGUUAAUGUUGAAGCAUAUAAACUUCCAAGUUCUUGCCGAAAAUUGCAGGCUAUUUUUCGUUGCUUUCUUUUGUUAGUUUUAUUGCAUGGAAAAUCUGUCUAAGUUCUUCUCCUUGUGCAUUAAAAGUUGAUUGUAUGUUUCGGGUCUUAUAAAUCUGUUGCUUUUCUCACAGUCUCAAUUAUAUGUAUCAGCCUUAUUUCUCCAAAUUCUUUUUCGUUGCUAUGUCGUAGUAGCCUUUGUACAUAGGUAUUAGGCAUGUGGUCUCGGUACUUUAUGCAUGGGGCCAGGUUUCCUUUCUACUUUCAAGGUAACCAAGCAUUGCUUGAUUUUCAGGGAGUGGAGCGUCAGAAGCUUAUUUUGGCACAUAACGACUUGGAAGUGCUAAGAGAAGACCUUAGGAAUGUCUUGUCUUAUCUUGUGGUGUUGCAUAAGCCACAACCAGAUAUCUUCCCUUCCUGCACAGGUGAGAACAGUUUCUCUCUAUGCUGCUUUGCUCCUGGUGGUGGCAAAUCUUCUAAUGUGAUGUGCCUACAUUAGAUUACUUCCACUGUGAUGAUGUGUAUUGAGCAUGUUGACAUUCAAGCAUGGAAGAUUGCAAUUUUUUAGUUGAUCUUUGUGUCCUAUUGUGCAUUGACUUAUCAGGAAGGAAAUAGAUGAUCUUCAGUACACCUCUCUGUACAUGUAUUUAUAAAUUAGACCAUGAUCAGUACAACUCCGUGUUGCAUCCACAUGUCACAUUUUAUAACCCCGAAGAAUUUUCUUCUUCUUUUCCCUUGGCAGUUUGAAAUCAAGAGAACAUGUUCAAGUCGUGCAAUGCUCGAGUUGAUAAUGGAUUUGUUGGUCCUUGUUCUGGCCUAGCAUUUCCCUUUUUUGUGUGUAAGUGAACUUUGAUUUACUCCUCUUUCUAGCAGUGGUAAAGAAACUUUGGCAGAAGUGCUGUGCAUUUAACCUUCUGAUAGUGUAAUCUUUAUUCCGAGAUUACUGGCUUGCUAUGUUUGGCUAGAUUGGGCAGUAUAUGCUUGCAGUAUUAGUUUAGCUUGAGUUUCAGGUGUUAUGUGCAUAAUGCAUGUAUUUGAUGUGCAGCUAAUUAAGUUGACAUAUUUUAGUUUCUUAGAUGGAGAAACAUCUUUUGACUAAUUUGGGAUCGAUGGUUUAGUAUGCAUUGUGCCAUUGAAUCCUCUUCAUGUAAAGUUAUCCGGCUAACGAUUCAGUGGGUGCAUGCAAGGUUUUCAAACUUUUAGAGGUUUGCCUCUUCCUGUAGAGGUUUGGACGAAAAUCUUUCAUGUAUGCUUGUUCAUUGUACUUGUGACAACAGUAGAAUUUUGUGUAAUAUCUGAGUUGUAUCUUUUCCUUCAAGAUAUCAUCUUACUCUUUUAUUUGUUGUGGUUCUUGAUACACCAAUCAUGGAGUUUGUACACUGAAACCCUUCAAGUUGACCACUUUUUUUCUCGUCAGUCAUAUUUCAUUUGUCAAAAUUCAGAAAGCGCAUGUUUGUUGACGUACCUUGUUGUAUGUCCAUAUUAUUUCUCACUGCUAGUUGUCAAAACUGCAUAAAUUACAGUUGGUGGUGUCAUGUUGACGCGGACCCACUGCAGGAAAAGAUACCUGUGUGUAGUAUCAUAAUUUUACUUAGUAUUCACUCUGUUGUCGUGGU